AACAGUGGUUAACAGUCGGGAAAUUAAGGUGAUAAAAAUGUUUUGAAAAUUCUCUUGCCAAGCUUUGCUCUGUGUGUUUUCCCCACUCCCCUCCUCUUUUCCCUAUCUCAUGAUACCUUUCAUUAUAUCAAUUAUUUGUGCAUCUCACUUAUUUAUUUCAGUGUCACAGGGAACAGUGCUGAUCUUGGCGAUGACUAGCCUGUGCAUUGUCCUGGCUGUCGUGUUAGUACUCUGUCUCAUCUGGACAUGCCGUAUGUGAUAUUCAUGACAUUUAAUUCAUAGAAUAGAUCUAGGAAAACACAUUCAUGCUAAAGGCAACACAUUUGCAACUUUUUGAGGUCUGUUUUAUAAGCAAUCAUCUUGAAGUAAAGACUCCUGUCAUUCCCACUAGUUGCCCAGGCUAUACACUGUGUAGUUCGGUGGUCUGGGACAGACAGAACGACACAGACACAGAUCGACAUUGCCCUCUAUAUCUCCAAAAGUCACCCGCUGGCACAUUAGCAAGCUUUUAUUUGUGUCAGAUGUGCUGUUGUUAGUGUUAUUGUUUGCAUGUCUCAGGAGUUAGCUUGCUAGUUUUAGACCAAAACAUCUUACUUCUGUAUUAAAAGAAAGAUACAGCCUUAUUUACUCUCUGAUAGGCACAUCUUAUUUUCUCUUUCAGGGAAACAUAAACAACAGAGUUCAAAGGGUACUCUAGGCAGGACCAGACAGAAGAAUCACCCGGACAUUAUGCCUGCACAUAGUACAAUUACAACUGUUAAUGACACUGUUGAAACCUACACCAUGAUCACCUCAACACCCCUGACUGUAGCUCCAGAUGUUGACAAAAGGGAAGACAUUUUCUCUGAACAGGAUGAUGUGAGUGCACUAUGUGCAAAGUACUGUGCUUUGGAUGUAUAGCAAAAAUCAAUAGCUUUUCAUUCAGAUUAAUUUACGGGGCCA
ensembl:lncRNA